CCCAGAAUCCACCCCUGAAAUCCAUCCCAGAAUCCAUUGCUGGGAUCCAUCCCAGGGAUCCUUCCCAGGAAUCCACCCCUGGAACCCACCCCAGGAUCCACCCCAGGGAUCCACCCCAGGAAUCCACCCCAGGAUCCAUUCCAGGGAUCCAUCCCAGGAAUCCACCCUAGGAUCCACCCCUGGAACCCAUCCCAGGAAUCCACCCCAGGAUCCAUCCCAGGGAUCCAUCCCAGGAAUCCAUCACUGGGAUCCAUCCCAGGAAUCCACCCCAGGAUCCAUUCCAGGGAUCCAUUCCAAAAUCCACCCCAGGAAUCCAUUGCUGGGAUCAAUCCCAGGAAUCCACCCCAGGAUCCACCCCAGGAUCCAUUGCUGGGAUCCAUCCCAGGAAUCCAUUCCAGGAAUCCACCCCAGAAUCCAUCCCAAAAUCCACCCCAGGAUCCAUUCCAGGGAUCCACCCCAGAAUCCAUCCCAGGAAUCCAUCGCUGGGAUCCACCCCAGAAUCCACCCCAGGAUCCACCCCAGGAUCCACCCACACCACCCGCCACGGUUGCUAAAAGAAUAAACAACAAAACCACAAACAAACAAAACCCACAAAAAAAAAAAAACAACAAAACCAAGAACAACAAACAAAGAAAAGCAGAAAACAACAAAAAAAAACCACACAAAAAGAAAAAAAAGAGAAGCCUUUGUAAAUUUCUUU
rnacentral:lncRNA from 1 species